rnacentral:sRNA from 1 species
GCAUGGGAUAGCCUUUCUAAAUGUUUUUUUUUUGAGCAAUUCUAUUUUAGCAAGACUAUCGCAACCAUGCAAAAAGCAACGGCAAAUCCGUUGCUUAUUUUUGU